CUAUACAUGCAGUCGAGCGGAUCUUCAUUAGCUUGCUUUUGAAGAUCAGCGGCGGACGGGUGAGUAACACGUGGGCAACCUGCCUGUAAGACUGGGAUAACUUCGGGAAACCGGAGCUAAUACCGGAUAAUCCUUUCCCUCACAUGAGGGAAAGCUGAAAGACGGUUUCGGCUGUCACUUACAGAUGGGCCCGCGGCGCAUUAGCUAGUUGGUGAGGUAACGGCUCACCAAGGCAACGAUGCGUAGCCGACCUGAGAGGGUGAUCGGCCACACUGGGACUGAGACACGGCCCAGACUCCUACGGGAGUCAACAGACAUUGGAAUCUUCCGCUAUAGACGAUCGUCUUACGAUAGCCAGGCCUGCGUGAGCGUAUGAGGAUUCUUAUUCCGUAACAUACAUCGCUUGUGCUAGAUCGAGUGGAGACACAACGUAGCCACGCAGCUAUGUUGACCUGUAUUCCUCGAGAGUAGGCAUAGACGCAGAUAUCGUCUACGGCUGAUUCAGCGUGACCAGCCAGACGCUGGUUAAUAUGUUAUGUCGGCAAGCUGUUGUACUAGAAAUUACUGGGCGUAAACGCGCGCGCAGGGCGGCUUCCUUAAGUCUGAUGUGAAAAGCCCCGGCUCAACCGGGGAGGGUCAUUGGAAAUUGGGGAACUUGAGUGCAGAAGAGGAGAGCGGAAUUUCCACGUGUAGCGGUGAAAUGCGUAGAGAUGUGGAGGAACACCAGUGGCGAAGGCGGCUCUCUGGUCUGUAACUGACGCUGAGGCGCGAAAGCGUGGGGAGCGAACAGGAUUAGAUACCCUGGUAGUCCACGCCGUAAACGAUGAGUGCUAAGUGUUAGAGGGUUUCCGCCCUUUAGUGCUGCAGCAAACGCAUUAAGCACUCCGCCUGGGGAGUACGGCCGCAAGGCUGAAACUCAAAGGAAUUGACGGGGGCCCGCACAAGCGGUGGAGCAUGUGGUUUAAUUCGAAGCAACGCGAAGAACCUUACCAGGUCUUGACAUCCUCUGACAACCCUAGAGAUAGGGCGUUCCCCUUCGGGGGACAGAGUGACAGGUGGUGCAUGGUUGUCGUCAGCUCGUGUCGUGAGAUGUUGGGUUAAGUCCCGCAACGAGCGCAACCCUUGAUCUUAGUUGCCAGCAUUCAGUUGGGCACUCUAAGGUGACUGCCGGUGACAAACCGGAGGAAGGUGGGGAUGACGUCAAAUCAUCAUGCCCCUUAUGACCUGGGCUACACACGUGCUACAAUGGAUGGAACAAAGGGCUGCAAAACCGCGAGGUCGAGCCAAUCCCAUAAAUCCAUUCUCAGUUCGGAUUGCAGGCUGCAACUCGCCUGCAUGAAGCCGGAAUCGCUAGUAAUCGCGGAUCAGCAUGCCGCGGUGAAUACGUUCCCGGGCCUUGUACACACCGCCCGUCACACCACGAGAGUUUGUAACACCCGAAGUCGGUGGGGUAACCUUUGGAGCCAGCCGCCUA
rnacentral:rRNA from 1 species